ACAAGGGAAAGACUUGAGUUACUUCCAACAGGGGUCUAUUCGUCAGUCAAAACGUUAAUCUUGAAGGAGCAAAGGUUUGUUCAUGACCUGUCAUGCUCGUUAGGCGAAGCCCACGUGUUUUAAAAAAAACGAAAGAAAAAAAAACGAAAAACGAAAAAAAACGAAAAGAUAGUGAGAGAAGAACCCUAGGGAAAAAGAUAGUGAGAGAAGAGCUAACAGAG
rnacentral:lncRNA from 1 species